UGAUGAUGAUGAUAAUGAUGAUGAUGAUGAUGAUGAUGAUGAUGGUCAUCAUCAUCAUCACCACCACCACCACCACCAUCACCAUCAUCAUCAUCAUCAUCAUCAUCAUCAUCA
rnacentral:pre_miRNA from 1 species